AGUGUGUUUUACCUGAGUGACUAGAGCGUAAAGAGGAAGAGUAACGUAGCUGCAAAGAAUCUGGACAAUAAGUCUGCAAGAUCAAGAUCAAGAGCUGCUUGCUUACCAUACUCCAGACAAAGAAAGCUAGUUGAAACGCGUUCUGCAAAUGGCGAUGAUAAGGGAAAAGUCGCUUUUGUAUCGGCUUAUGGCAUGCACCAGCUUCAUAUAUUCAUCUUUGUACUUGCGGUUUGUCAAAAUCGAAAGGUGACGUAUCACUUAUCAUAACCUUUAGUAGCCAAACUCCUUCGAGGAAUGAAAGAGUCGACUAACUGGAGAAGCUUUCGACGCGAGUUUUCUUCAUCUUCUCCGUCUUCCUCCUUUGGGACAUCUUUCUUACCGUACUUUCUCGCCUCUUCGGAUGGACUACAAGGGUGCAUGGACGCUGCGAUGUUCUUAGGGAUGCAAAUAUUUGAGAUGUAGCCUUGUCCAAUAGUAAGCAGUAGUGAUAUGAAUCCCAUCAGCAUAAGCUCUACAAAAAAA